rnacentral:lncRNA from 1 species
UUUUUCCUUUUGGAGGUGUUAUAUAUGGAGUGAUUCUACAGCAGCAAGGGGGCACGCUAUUCUUCUUUUAGUUCAUCUAUUAAUCUAGGUUUUUGUUCUGUAUUUUUUGUUUUGGUGAUUGGAAGCCAUGAUUAUGAGUGGCUAAUUUCUUUACACCAAUUCAAGGGAUUUAUCAUCCUUGCACUUUUGUGAGACUUGGGUUUUAAAUGAGUAGUUUCUUCUUGAAUAUCUGUUGUUUCUUGUUCUUAUUGAGUUGAUUCUAUUGAAUUCUUUGCUAAAAAGGCCUAUUAGUGAAUUG